rnacentral:rRNA from 1 species
AUUGAACGCUGGCGGCAGGCCUAACACAUGCAAGUCGAGCGAGCGGCGGACGGGUGAGUAAUGUCUGGGAAACUGCCCGAUGGGGGGGGAUAACUAUUGGAAACGGUAGGUAAUACCGCAAAUCACUAGCUGUGCCCAGUUGGGAUUAGCUAGUUGGUGGGGUAACGGCUCAACUAGGCGACGAUCCCUAGCUGGUCUGAGAGGAUGACCAGCCACAAUGGAACUGAGACACGGUCCAGACUCCUACGGGAGGCAGCAGUGGGGAAUAUUGCGCAAUGGGCGAAAGCCUGAUGCAGCCAUGCCGCGUGUGUGAAGAAGGCCUUCGGAUUGUAAAGCACUUUCAGCGGGGAGGCGUUACCCGCAGAAGAAGCACCGGCUAACUCCGUGCCAGCAGCCGCGGUAAUAC